CACACGACUCUCGGCAACGGAUAUCUCGGCUCUCGCAUCGAUGAAGAACGUAGCGAAAUGCGAUACCUGGUGUGAAUUGCAGAAUCCCGCGAACCAUCGAGUCUUUGAACGCAAGUUGCGCCCGAGGCCUUCUGGCUGAGGGCACGCCUGCCUGGGCGUCACGC
rnacentral:rRNA from 1 species